rnacentral:rRNA from 1 species
GAUGAACGCUGGCGGCGUGCCUAAUACAUGCAAGUAGAACGCUGAAGGAAGGAGCUUGCUCUUUCCGGAUGAGUUGCGAACGGGUGAGUAACGCGUAGGUAACCUGCCUGGUAGCGGGGGAUAACUAUUGGAAACGAUAGCUAAUACCGCAUAACAGUAGAUGUUGCAUGAUAUCUACUUAAAAGGUGCAAUUGCACCACUACCAGAUGGACCUUCGUUGUAUUAGCUAGUUGGUGAGGUAACGGCUCACCAAGGCGACGAUACAUAGCCGACCUGAGAGGGUGGUCGGCCACACUGGGACUGAGACACGGCCCAGACUCCUACGGGAGGCAGCAGUAGGGAAUCUUCGGCAAGGGACGGAAGUCUGACCGAGCAACGCCGCGGGAGUGAAGAAGGUUUUCGGAUCGUAAAGCUCGGUUGUAAGAGAAGAACGAGUGUGAGAGUGGAAAGUUCACACUGUGACGGUAUCUUACCAGAAAGGGACGGCUAACUACGUG